AGUUUACUAGAACUGCUAUACAGGUGCUGCACGGCUGUCGUCAGCUCGUGUCGUGAGAUGUUGGGUUAAGUCCCGCAACGAGCGCAACCCUCGUGUCUAGUUACUAACAGUUCGGCUGAGGACUCUAGACAGACUGCCUGGGUAACCAGGAGGAAGGUGAGGACGACGUCAAGUCAUCAAGGCCCUUACGGCCAGGGCUACACACGUGCUACAAUGGGGUAUACAGAGAGCAGCGAUACCGCGAGGUGGAGCAAAUCUUCAAAAUAUCUCCCAGUUCGGAUAGCAGUCUGCAACUCGACUGCUUGAAGUUGGAAUCGCUAGUAAUCGUGAAUCAGCAAUGUCACGGUGAAUACGUUCCCGGGUCUUGUACUCACCGCCCGUCACACCAUGGGAGUUGAAUUCAUUCGAAGCGGGGAUGCUAAAGUAGCUACCUUCCACAGUGGAUUUAGUAACUAGGGUG
rnacentral:rRNA from 1 species